rnacentral:rRNA from 2 species
GGGUUGUGAGGUUAAGCGACUAAGCGUACACGGUGGAUGCCCUGGCAGUCAGAGGCGAUGAAGGGCGUGCUAAUCUGCGAUAAGCGCCGGUAAGGUGAUAUGAACCGUUAUAACCGGCGAUACCCGAAUGGGGAAACCCAGUGUGAUUCGUCACACUAUCAUUAACUGAAUCCAUAGGUUAAUGAGGCGAACCGGGGGAACUGAAACAUCUAAGUACCCCGAGGAAAAGAAAUCAACCGAGAUUCCCCCAGUAGCGGCGAGCGAACGGGGAGGAGCCCAGAGCCUGAAUCAGCAUGUGUGUUAGUGGAAGCGUCUGGAAAGGCGCGCGAUACAGGGUGACAGCCCCGUACACAAAAGCGCAUGUGCUGUGAGCUCGAUGAGUAGGGCGGGACACGUGGUAUCCUGUCUGAAUAUGGGGGGACCAUCCUCCAAGGCUAAAUACUCCUGACUGACCGAUAGUGAACCAGUACCGUGAGGGAAAGGCGAAAAGAACCCCGGCGAGGGGAGUGAAAAAGAACCUGAAACCGUGUACGUACAAGCAGUGGGAGCACAGGUUUACCUGUGUGACUGCGUACCUUUUGUAUAAUGGGUCAGCGACUUAUAUUCUGUAGCAAGGUUAACCGUAUAGGGGAGCCGUAGGGAAACCGAGUCUUAACCGGGCGUUAAGUUGCAGGGUAUAGACCCGAAACCCGGUGAUCUAGCCAUGGGCAGGUUGAAGGUUGGGUAACACUAACUGGAGGACCGAACCGACUAAUGUUGAAAAAUUAGCGGAUGACCUGUGGCUGGGGGUGAAAGGCCAAUCAAACCGGGAGAUAGCUGGUUCUCCCCGAAAGCUAUUUAGGUAGCGCCUCGUGAAUUCAUCUCCGGGGGUAGAGCACUGUUUCGGCUAGGGGGCCAUCCCGGCUUACCAACCCGAUGCAAACUGCGAAUACCGGAGAAUGUUAUCACGGGAGACACACGGCGGGUGCUAACGUCCGUCGUGAAGAGGGAAACAACCCAGACCGCCAGCUAAGGUCCCAAAGUCAUGGUUAAGUGGGAAACGAUGUGGGAAGGCCCAGACAGCCAGGAUGUUGGCUUAGAAGCAGCCAUCAUUUAAAGAAAGCGUAAUAGCUCACUGGUCGAGUCGGCCUGCGCGGAAGAUGUAACGGGGCUAAACCAUGCACCGAAGCUGCGGCAGCGACACUAUGUGUUGUUGGGUAGGGGAGCGUUCUGUAAGCCUGUGAAGGUGUGUCGUGAGGCAUGCUGGAGGUAUCAGAAGUGCGAAUGCUGACAUAAGUAACGAUAAAGCGGGUGAAAAGCCCGCUCGCCGGAAGACCAAGGGUUCCUGUCCAACGUUAAUCGGGGCAGGGUGAGUCGACCCCUAAGGCGAGGCCGAAAGGCGUAGUCGAUGGGAAACGGGUUAAUAUUCCCGUACUUGGUGUUACUGCGAAGGGGGGACGGAGAAGGCUAUGUUGGCCGGGCGACGGUUGUCCCGGUUUAAGCGUGUAGGUGUGUGUUCCAGGUAAAUCCGGUUCACUUUAACACUGAGGCGUGAUGACGAGGCACUACGGUGCUGAAGCAACAAAUGCCCUGCUUCCAGGAAAAGCCUCUAAGCAUCAGGUAACAUCAAAUCGUACCCCAAACCGACACAGGUGGUCAGGUAGAGAAUACCAAGGCGCUUGAGAGAACUCGGGUGAAGGAACUAGGCAAAAUGGUGCCGUAACUUCGGGAGAAGGCACGCUGACACGUAGGUGAAGUGAUUUACUCAUGGAGCUGAAGUCAGUCGAAGAUACCAGCUGGCUGCAACUGUUUAUUAAAAACACAGCACUGUGCAAACACGAAAGUGGACGUAUACGGUGUGACGCCUGCCCGGUGCCGGAAGGUUAAUUGAUGGGGUCAGCGCAAGCGAAGCUCCUGAUCGAAGCCCCGGUAAACGGCGGCCGUAACUAUAACGGUCCUAAGGUAGCGAAAUUCCUUGUCGGGUAAGUUCCGACCUGCACGAAUGGCGUAAUGAUGGCCAGGCUGUCUCCACCCGAGACUCAGUGAAAUUGAACUCGCUGUGAAGAUGCAGUGUACCCGCGGCAAGACGGAAAGACCCCGUGAACCUUUACUAUAGCUUGACACUGAACAUUGAGCCUUGAUGUGUAGGAUAGGUGGGAGGCUUUGAAGUGUGGACGCCAGUCUGCAUGGAGCCGACCUUGAAAUACCACCCUUUAAUGUUUGAUGUUCUAACGUGGACCCGUAAUCCGGGUUGCGGACAGUGUCUGGUGGGUAGUUUGACUGGGGCGGUCUCCUCCUAAAGAGUAACGGAGGAGCACGAAGGUUGGCUAAUCCUGGUCGGACAUCAGGAGGUUAGUGCAAUGGCAUAAGCCAGCUUGACUGCGAGCGUGACGGCGCGAGCAGGUGCGAAAGCAGGUCAUAGUGAUCCGGUGGUUCUGAAUGGAAGGGCCAUCGCUCAACGGAUAAAAGGUACUCCGGGGAUAACAGGCUGAUACCGCCCAAGAGUUCAUAUCGACGGCGGUGUUUGGCACCUCGAUGUCGGCUCAUCACAUCCUGGGGCUGAAGUAGGUCCCAAGGGUAUGGCUGUUCGCCAUUUAAAGUGGUACGCGAGCUGGGUUUAGAACGUCGUGAGACAGUUCGGUCCCUAUCUGCCGUGGGCGCUGGAGAACUGAGGGGGGCUGCUCCUAGUACGAGAGGACCGGAGUGGACGCAUCACUGGUGUUCGGGUUGUCAUGCCAAUGGCACUGCCCGGUAGCUAAAUGCGGAAGAGAUAAGUGCUGAAAGCAUCUAAGCACGAAACUUGCCCCGAGAUGAGUUCUCCCUGAGACUUAGAGUCUCCUGAAGGAACGUUGAAGACGACGACGUUGAUAGGCCGGGUGUGUAAGCGCAGCGAUGCGUUGAGCUAACCGGUACUAAUGAACCGUGAGGCUUAACCUUACAACGCCGAAG